CAUUGUGAAGUCAGGAAUCACGUCAUUGUGGAGUCCGGAUGUGCGUUGAGACAUCUGGAAGCUGUGCGUUUGCUGUAAGCAGCCCUACCACAGACAUGUGAGCGCCGAACCACACUGUGUUAGGACAGCAGCUCUCAGCCCUUAGAAGCUCUUCUUAUGAGACCGCUGUCGUAUGUAGCUCUGCUCUUUCCGGAGACAUCUUUAUGCGUGCAUCGUUGUUCAAGAAGGAGGAGAUACCUGGAGACUGAGGCAGAAGGAUCCUGAGUUCCAGGGCAGCUUGGCCUAUAAGAGCGAGCUCCAGGAUGUGGGCUUCCUUGACUGCUGUUCUGUAGCAGGAGGGAGGCAGGGCCACACUGCCAGAACCGUGCAAAGCCAGCUUCUCCCCUGACAGCCGUGUCUACCAGGAAGUCUCCCCUGGCCUCAGGCUCCCCAUGGGAGGUAUGGACCACAAACCGGAGUAGCGGGCUGCCAUGAAAUAACAGUGGAAGUGCUAGAUGCUACCUUCAUCCCAUUGGCCGAACCAGUCAUGUGUCUCCUCAUGGACGGCCCACUUUGGAAACAUUCAAUAAGGAAUUUUGGUCACAAGUCCAGACCACAACGCAGCUCUCGUUCCGCCACCAGCAUUGACAAGCUGCUGUGGUUUGGUUCCCCACGAGUACAUCCGCUCCUGAGUUCCUUCUGAACUUCUGAUGCUGAAUCAUUCCUUCCGUUCUGGAGAUGUUCAGCGGUGGCACUUUUGGGAAGUGAUUUAGUCAUGACGACCGACCAGUAUACUUCUGUCAGGACGUGCGGUUAGUUGCCCCAACACCUGACCACCAUGCAGUAAAGCCGCUUUGGCAUUUGUCUCUUCCCACCUCA